rnacentral:rRNA from 1 species
AUUGCCUAUCAGGGUAAGUGGUUGAGGCUGCUGCGCCCUGCGGGGAGACGUAGUGGCCCGAGAAACCAGAAUUGAUAUGCCUGGACACCAGAGGCCUCACAUUAGUGAGUACAAUAAGAAAUAAUGAUGCUACAACCCAAUUGGGGGAUGGCUCGGCUCGAGCCCCCGAACUGAAGCAUCUCAGUAGGGGGAGGAAAAGAAAUCAAUAGAAAUUCCGUGAGUAGUGGCGAAUGAAAACGGAAUAGGACAAACCGAAUCUCCUUGGGAAACCUUGGAGAGAUGUGGAGUAUGGACACUUGUUGCCUAAGUCCGUGAAGUAGAAGUCGUCCUGGAACGGCGCACCAUAGAGGGUGAAAGUCCCGUAUACGAACCGGAUAUGGCCAUGAAGUGGAUCCUGAGUAGCGUGCGUUGGAUAUCGCGCGUGAAUGUGGGAGGCAGAGACUUCCAAUCCUAAAUACUACUCGAGACCGAUAGUUGACAAGUAGCGUGAGCGAAAGCUGAAAAGUAUCCUUAGCGGGAUGUGAAAAGAACCUGAAACCAAUUGGGAACAAGCUGAAUAGGCGUGAAAGCGAAGAUAUGAGCAGCGUCUAUUCGUGCGUUUCGAAAAAUGCCCCUGGGAGUUCUGAUCAUUGGCGAGGUUAAGCAGUAGAUCUGCGUAGCCGUAGGGAAACCGAAUAGUCCGCAGCCGUAAGGCGAGGGACUGGGUGUGCUCGCCCGGAGUCAAUGGUGGGAGACCUGAAGCCCGUCGAUCUAUGCCUGACCAGAUUGAAGCCCGGUGAAAACUGGGUGGAGGAUCAAACCGUUGCUGAUGUGCAAAUCGCUCGGAUGAGUUUGGUAUAGGGGUGAAAGUCCAAUCGAGAUGGGCAAUAGCAGGUUCCGCGCGAGACUACUCGUAGGUAGAUCUCUGUGAAGGUAGAAUGCGAUGUAGAGCACUGAUUGUAUGUUUAGGGGGAGCAAUCCCUCGGCACGCUGUCAAACUCCGAAGUUGUGUUCGCCGUAGAAGCAGGGAGUGAGCCACGGUGGGUAAGCUACCGUGACGAAAGGUGAAUAAACCAGCUCAGCGUUAAGGUCCCAAAAUUUCAGUUAAGUGUUAAUCACAAACGGCGUCCGUGGCCGAAGACAACCAGAAGGUGGGCUUAGAAGCAGCCAUCCUUGAAAGAGUUCGUAACAGAUCACUGGUCAAGCUUGCGGGCCCGUAAAAUGGACGGGGCUCAAACUGAAUACCGAUACGCUGACCCUCCGAAAGGAGAUGGGGUAGCGCGGCGAUGUGCUCGGGUAGAAGCGAGGUCGUAAGGUCUCGUGGACCGUGUACAUAUGAGAAUCCAGGGAAGAGUAGCAGCAUAGUGUGGUGAGAAUCCGCACCACCGAAGGGGUAAGGGUUCCUCGGCAAUGUUUUUCAGCCGAGGGUUAGCCGGUCCUAAGGGCAUUCUUAACCGAAAUGUCCGAAUGGGAAAUGCGUUAAUAUUCGUAUGCCCCUCUACAAUAAUGGUGACGGCUCGGGCUAGUUCGUGCAUUCCUGUCAUGGGAUGUCGAAGCGUUCGAUAACCGAUCUGAGAACCGUCAUGGUGAGAAGAUUGGGAAGGCGUGAGCAAAAGACGAAUGAUGCCUGGGUCCCAUGAAAAGCCGUAGAGGUGACCGUACCUAGAACUGACACAGGUACCCAAGGUGAGUAGCCUAAGGUGUGACGGGCAAAGUACCGCGAAGGAACUCGGCAAAAUCGCUCUGUAACUUCGGGAGAAGGAGUGCCAGCUUAGAGAUAAGCUGGUCGCAGUGACCAGAGGACUCCGACUGUUUAAUAAAAACAUAGGCGACUGCUAGAUCGAAAGGUUGUGUAUAGUCGCUGAAUCCUGCUCAGUGCUGGUAUCUGAAAUCGGGUUACAACCUGACGAAGGACCGGUAAACAGCGGGGGUAACUAUGACCCUCUUAAGGUAGCGUAAUACCUUGUCGCUUAAUUGGCGACUUGCAUGAAUGGCACAACGAGAGUCCUACUGUCUCCGCGGUACGUCCGGCGAAAUUGACAUUACUGGCGCACAGUCCAGUAACCUCAACCUGCAAGCGAAGACCCCGUAGAGCUUUACUGCAGCCUGGCGUUGUGCAGUCGCACAUUACGUGCUGAGUAGACGGGAGACGCUAAUCCUCGGGACGCCAGUUCCGAGAGUAGUCAUCCAUAGAGACACCGUCCUUAGUGUGUAACUGUACUAACUCUUCAUGAGAACACCGCUUGGUGGGCAGUUUGGGUGGGGCGCCACGCGCUCGAAAAAAUAACAAGCGUGCCCAAAGGUCAGCUUAGGUGGUUCAGUCUCCACCGUGAAAUGUAAGGGUAAAAGCUGGCUUGACGUGGAUCGGCAAAAUAACGAUCGACGAUGCGAAAUCAGGGCCUAUCGAACCAAUGUACCUCAUUUCUGGGGGUCAUUGAUAACAGAAAAGUUACCUCGGGGAUAAUUGAGUUGUCACCAGCAAGAGCACAUAUCGACCUGGUGGCUUGCUACUUCAAUGUCGUCUCUUCCCAACCUCCUGGUGCAGCAGCUGGGAAGGGUGGGGUUGUUCGCCCAUUAAAGGGGAUCGUGAGAUGGGUUUAGACCGUCGUGAGACAGGUUUGUUGCUUUGUGGUUGAGGCGUAUUGAUGCGUGAUCGGAAGGGCCCUUUAGUACGAGAGGAACGAGGGCUCGGGGCCACUAGUUUACCAGUUGUCCGGCAGGGCAAUGCUGGGUAGCCACGCCCUAUGUGGAUAAGAGCUGAAAGCAUCUAAGCUCGAAGUCAUCCGAAAGACGACGCAUCUCAGGGGACUCGUAGAAGACGAGUUUGAUAGACAGCGGGUGUAAGUACCGAGGUUCGCCGAGGUAUUCAGCCCAGCUGCACUAACCCCCCGAGCAUCUAAAUU